AGGAGAGUGUUUUAAGACUAAAAUACUGAUGAGUAGGUAAAGGGGUAGAAUGUUUUCCCAGGGAACAAUUCAUCAGCCUCUGACAUGAUGUUUGUUUUGUAAAUCUCUUUUUUCAGAACAGUGAACGAUUUAAAGGGAGACUAAAACACUGAAAAAAAAUGCCGUUCAUAUAUUGUGUUCUUUUGAAUUUUUAUUUAUAUUUCUAACCUCUUUAGAUCAUUACAAGUAUAUACCUCAUAAUGAAAAUGAAAAUAAUUCCAUUUAAAAUGCUAUCUAGAAAGACCUUAACACGCAUUAUGUGUCAUAAUGAAGUAACACAAAGAAACUUCUUAAAACAUAGGAUUUCUCUCUAAAGCUUAAAUGUGAGGCAGACAGACGUCUAACUUUAAAACAGAUGGAACCCCAGAACAUUUCCAGGAUACAUAAAUCUGAAUUUUGUGUUACAUUUUAUGCCUGAGACAGCUAACCCAUCCAAAUUGAUGAGGCCUUUGUACUUGCCUCAACAAAUCGCCACAAAAUAUGUGAUGGAAGUGAUGCUGCUUCUAGGACUUCUGCAAGUUUCUCUCGGCACACUGGCCUGGGAGCCUUCAGCUGCCAGUUUUUACAUCUUCAGCACAAAAAGUCCAGUAAUAAAGGAACUAUGUUUGCUAUAUUAACGGUAAGUGGAGAUAUCUUCCCUCUACCCCAGAAUUCUAUAGCACAUGCAUAAUAUGAUUGCAAGUAUGCAGUAUGGCUAUAAGUAGGCAUGGAAAAAUGCAAAACUAACAACAGUACAAUGUUUAGGCAGAUGGGAUGGGUGACUUUUUUCCUUUUUUAAAAUAUUGUCUUUAAUAUUACAAAAUUAGUCAAUAUGUGGCAUACUAUAAGAAUUUCCAAUCCAUUUCUCACUCAUGUGUCCUGUAUCUAAUGCUUUAUUCCCAUCAAUAAAAUAAAAAUGUCUAUUUUUGAGGCCACAAAUAGAACAUUAUAGUCACUUGUAAAUAACAAUGCUAAAAGGGAUUGGUUUUGUUUAAAUUAAUAAUGCUUUGUGUAUCUAUUUUCUUCUAUUUAAUUUAUAUAAUAUUAAGACAAAAGUAUAAGAAAAAUGAGAAAAGGACCUGGUGCAGUG
rnacentral:lncRNA from 1 species